rnacentral:rRNA from 1 species
AUUGAACGCUGGCGGCAUGCCUUACACAUGCAAGUCGAACGGUAACGGGCCUUCGGGUGCCGACGAGUGGCGAACGGGUGAGUAAUGCAUCGGAACGUACCUUUCAGUGGGGGAUAACGUAGCGAAAAGUUACGCUAAUACCGCAUAUUCUGUGAGCAGGAAAGCAGGGGAUCGCAAGACCUUGCGCUGAUUGAGCGGCCGAUGUCAGAUUAGCUAGUUGGUGAGGUAAAAGGCUCACCAAGGCGACGAUACUGUAGCGGGUCUGAGAGGAUGAUCCGCCACACUGGAACUGAGACACGGUCCAGACUCCUACGGGAGGCAGCAGUGAGGAAUUUUGGACAAUGGCGAAAGCCUGAUCCAGCC